UUAAUAGAAUCUGUGUGUAAUUAUUCUCAGUGCUUCCCUACAUGCUGUGGCCUGUUAUUUGUUGGAAAAGUCUGUUUAAUGGGUGUCAUGUCAGGUAUGUGCCUUUCUGGAUUGUGGCACAAUUUCCACACCACUCCAUAGUCCAGGGUGCCUCCUGCUUUUUGGCUACCAGGUCAUCCUUCAGUUUAAUCACAGCACUUUUAAAGAAAUCCCUUUAAAAAUGACAUUAAACUUCAGGUUCCUGUUAGUGAGCCUUGCAGAGAUUCUGUUAAAGCUGACCAGUUGAGGGAGGAUUAUCUUUAAUUUAUCCCUUGUUUGGUUAUUAUCCCCAUCCCAACCCCAGCUGUAAAAGGUAUUUUAUCAGAUUUUUCACCAGAUUUGCCUUUUUUUAUUACAUUUGCUAGAUUUUUGUAGCUUUCUAUAAGAUGCAUAAAUACUGCUAUUUUUUCCUGGAUAAGGUUGAAUAAAUAAAUAAAUAAAUAUAUAUAUAUACAGGAAAUUUAUGUUCUAGGUUGUCAAAUUGUCCUCUUGUCCAAAAAACCCCCACAGAUCUAAACAGAUAGUAGAAAUUCUAUGUACAGUAUAACUGUGAAAUAGUAUUGCUUAUAGCCUGUAAAUAAAGGGGAGUUGUAAAUACAUUUUCCCUGUGCACAAGCACUUGCACUGUAGUUUUGUAGGCAUUUCUAGCAGAGGGAUGGAGGCAGAGCUGGGUUUGGAUCUGUGAGCUGUCCAGGAAUUCUACCUGCUUUGUUUCCUUCUGUGUUCUCAGCAGUUGUCACUUUUUUUUGCAUGUGACUCCUUUUAGGUUUCAAUCCUGCAGCAAAUUUGCAAAGAGAGCUGAACUUCAAGCUGCUCUAGUCACGAGUGUGUAAGCUGAAAAAUCUGUAUAGAAACUAGGGUUCAGUUGGUCUGAGGCAUGCAGAAGUGUUAUGCAAUUUCAACUUCGUUAAUAAGUGUUUAUCAAUAAAUUUAGUAAAGGCUUUUUAGCCUUCUUAACAUGGCUUUGUUGUGAUUAGAACACUUUGUAGGUGAGUGCUUAUUUCCAUAAUUGGAGGUCAAGACAAAAACAGCAGAAAAAAUGCUUAACAAUAUGGUGCAGGUGCAUAGUUUUAGAUGAACUCCUCAGAAUGUGUUCUCUCAAACCUGUCCAGAUAUAGAGUUCCAAACCUUGAGGUAAUGCAGCUGUGCAGGAUGAAUUUUGGGAUCAGCACACACAGCACUGAUGUAGAUUUAAUGUGUCAGAGUGCUUAAAGAGUGGGCUUAGUUCCCUGGCUGUUUGACCUGUAAAUAACACCUACCAAAAGGUGAUUUCAUCCAUUUCUGUACUUCAAGGAGUUGCCUGAACCAGCAUGUCAGGAGUUUGUUCUGUGCAUUUUGAAUUGCAGCUCCCCUCUUGUCCCCUGGGCUCUGUCUGAGUGUUUAAUCAACAUGGAUUUUUAAGAGCGGGUGUUCAAGGCUUUCAUUUCUCCAGUAGUGAGAACAAUAUUUUGGUUUCAGCUGUGCUAGGAAUCUGAUCAUAAUAGCAAAUACAGCUGCUGCUAAUUAAAUGAAUCUGUUAACCUUUAUUCCAUAGGAUAAUUGCCUGUCUGUGUGUUUCUUCCUGUCAUCUGUGUGUAUGAUAAAUGUCCUUUUCCUAGCUAUAACAGGAGAUUAGUUCAACGUUAAUGUUUUCCUUCACGUGGUGUGUGCUGAAAGAAAAUCCUUUUCUGCUUUGGAAAGCCGUGGAUGUGUCAUACAAAUGGUAUUGAGGAAAUUAAACUUGUCAGAUGA